rnacentral:lncRNA from 11 species
UGUGAGCCUUAUUUGCACCCUUGUGGCACCGUGGGCUGUGCUCCGUUCACGGCACUCAUUCAGCUGUCACACAAAUGUUGACGUGGGAUUGCUCUGAUGGGUCCUGACCCCCAGGUUGAGAAACACUGUCCUAGAAGGCAAAGGGGAGUGGAGAAAUCUGGUGGCGGUGUCGUGGUGCCAAAGGGAGGUGAGAAAGAGAGAGUCGUGACGGGGGAAGCACAGAAGAAGAGGUCGGCGAAAGGGGGGGCGCCAUGUCAUGGGGCCAAUUCCCAGAGCUGAGUCUGCAAGCUCUGGAAUUGGAGCCAUAACAAAGAGCACUCCUCGACGGCUCAUGAAAACACCUGGCAGCAGAGCAUGAGAACUUGUGGAGUGAAAAUCAAAACAAUUAUAAUGAGUAGUUUGUGUGGAAAUGGUAGAAAUGUGAUACAGGGGGUGGGGUUUGGUGAUGAUAUUUACGUGUGAUGUGACGUAGUAGCAAAGGUAAUAAAAUUGAUUGUAUGUAAACAUUAUGUCAUUCUCGACUUUUCCCAAGUCGUGUAUUCUUCAAUAAAGAUUGGUUUUGAUAGCAGCUGUCUUUGAUCUGCGUUCAUGCUGAUCGUUUGAAGUGAGCGUGACACACAUCUUUUCCAUCAGCUUGGAAAA